CUCUGAGCAUGCGCACUUUUACCGCUUGAAUUUUGAAAACAGUGAUAAAAGUUGCAGUGAAAUAUUUAUCUCGAUUCAGAUUCCAGAACAAAGAAAAAGAAUCUUGUAUAAAAAUCCACAGAUCCAAUGUGUGAACAUGUGUCUGAGGUUGUGGAAUGCAUUGCAGUUACAAUACUUACAAUAGACCAGAAACCAACACAAGACCAGCCGAUGAGAGGGCAGAAAACCAAAACUUUGAAUGCCAUGUAUACAACCAACACAAGACUAGAAUUUGGAAUAA